ACGCACGCUGGCGGCGUGCUUAACCCCUGCAAGUCGCACGGAGAGGCCUCUUUCGGGGGGUACUCGAGUGGCGAACGGGUGAGUAACACGUGAGUAACCUGCCCUUGACUUUGGGAUAACUUCAGGAAACUGGGGCUAAUACCGGAUAGGAGCUCCUGCUGCAUGGUGGGGGUUGGAAAGUUUCGGCGGUUGGGGAUGGACUCGCGGCUUAUCAGCUUGUUGGUGGGGUAGUGGCUUACCAAGGCUUUGACGGGUAGCCGGCCUGAGAGGGUGACCGGCCACAUUGGGACUGAGAUACGGCCCAGACUCCUACGGGAGGCAGCAGUGGGGAAUAUUGCACAAUGGGUGGAAGCCUGAUGCAGCAACGCCGUGUGCGGGAUGACGGCCUUCGGGUUGUAAACCGCUUUCGCUCAUGACGAAGCUUUGUGUGACGGUAGUGGGUAAAGAAGCACCGGCUAACUACGUG
rnacentral:rRNA from 1 species